UCUAAAACUCAAAGGAAUUGACGGGGGCCCGCACAAGCGGUGGAGCAUGUGGUUUAAUUCGACGCAACGCGCAGAACCUUACCAGCCCUUGACAUGUCCAGGACCGGUCGCAGAGAUGUGACCUUCUCUUCGGAGCCUGGAGCACAGGUGCUGCGUGGCUGUCGUCAGCUCGUGUCGUGAGAUGUUGGGUUAAGUCCCGCAACGAGCGCAACCCCCGUCCUUAGUUGCUACCAUUCAGUCGAGCACUCUAAGGAGACUGCCGGUGAUAAGCCGCGAGGAAGGUGGGGAUGACGUCAAGUCCUCAUGGCCCUUACGGGCUGGGCUACACACGUGCUACAAUGGCGGUGACAAUGGGAUGCAAAAGGGCAACCUCUAGCAAAUCUCAAAAAA
rnacentral:rRNA from 1 species